rnacentral:misc_RNA from 1 species
AUCUGUGGUUCAGCCGAAGCCGAAUUACAAAAAUUUUGCUCGUGAAAGAUGGUGGGCUUGCUGAAGUAUGUAAGUGUAUAUAUGGAAUGUUAUUUUACAAAUUAGAAUACUGAAGACGUUUUAAAUGUGUUCAUCUUUUCAUUAAAUACAUAAAUAAUGGAUUUACCUCAACCGCCACAAGAUACCGAACUUAGGAACAUAAUAGACAAAUUAGCCCAAUUUGUAGCUCGAAAUGGCCCAGAAUUCGAGCAAAUGACAAAAAAUAAACAGAAAGGCAAUCCAAAGUUUCAAUUUUUAUACGGAGGAGAGUAUUUUAAUUACUAUCAAUACAAAGUUACAACAGAACAAGCUAUUUUGAAACAACAAGGUAUAGGACUUGCACCUCAAAGUGAUUGGAAUCAACCUCAAAGUGUAAUUACUCAGGACAGUCCAGAAUUAGAACAUUUAACACAACAGCAAGAUGCAUUAAGGGAGCAAAUUAAGCAAAGUGAACAGAAUCUUAAUGCACAACAUACGGUGCUUCUACAACAACAACAAGCUCAAGUAGAAGAAACAAUUACAAAGUGUCAGUUGACAAGUCUUCAAGAAGAAGCUGAACAGUGUAAUUUGCAAUUAAAUGAGUUGUAUAAGUUAUUACAACCAAUCAUUGAUUCUUGUACAAAAGACAGCAUAAGUAAUGGAAAAUCAUGGAUAUUACAACAUGCUACUAGUAAAGAAAGGGCAAUUUGUAUAUCCCAUUGUCUUCUGUACAAAGUUGUACAAGGAAAUGCUCCAUUUUCCCAAAAGUUACAUAUUAUUUAUCUCGUUAAUGAUGUAUUACAUCAUUGUGCUCGUAAAAAUGCAAUCGAUCUGAAAGAGGCUUUAGAAAAAGUCGUUGUACCGAUGAUGUGUAAUGCAAGUAUUGGUGCAACUGAGGACCAGGCCGUAAAAUUAGAAAAACUAUUAAAAUUGUGGGAAUCGAAAUCGAACUAUUUAUCAUCACAAACGGUGGACAAGAUGAGACAGCCGGCCCCUAGCUAUCAACAGUUUAAAACUGACGAAAUUGCGCGUUUUGCAAACGAAGUAGCUCCCCUCGCUCAGCAAACAAAAGUGACCUUCGAAGGGUAUCAACAGCAACACCAGGCAUUUGUAUGCCAUGCUAUGCAACAAAUUAUGGACUUGCAGAAUCAGAAGCAGGCCAUUGAACAGCAGCAGCAAUCGGUAAUUCAACAACAGUCACAGGGGCCACAACAACCCAUUCAGUCUCAACCUCCACCCCAACACAGCAACCUCAUACCACUGGAUGCUUUAAGAGCGGAAAUUCAGCAAAAUAUGUCUCAACAACAAUUACCUCCCUUAAAUGAUAGAAUGAACAAUGGUUGUCUUGAACCGAAUGACAUAACAUUGGCUCCACCCCCACCAACGAUAAAUCAAUCAAAUUCCGCGAUACAACCAAUAGCACAAAGUAACGGUUACGUGCCGCCGAUGAAUCCGAAUGUGCCACCACCGUGUAUGAGUCAACCGGCCGUUGAAUCUUUACCACCUUUUACUCAACCUCCUCCCGGUUUUUUUCCGCCACCCGGCAUGUUUCCAGAUUUUUCGAAACCACCGCCCGGUUUUCCACCAACUGCGCAGCAACCUCCUAAACCUGAGCCUGAGGAACUGCUACCCACUGUUCCGUAUUAUGAUCUACCAGCAGGACUUAUGGUUCCUCUGAUUAAGUUGGAAGACACCUCUUUUAAACCGUUAGAUCCUAAAGAUAUUAGGUUGCCACCACCUCAACCGCCCAGCGAGAGGCUUCUCGCUUCCGUCGAAGCGUUCUAUGCACCGCCAAGCCACGAAAGACCGAGAGACAGCGAAGGCUGGGAAAAGUUAGGUUUGUACGAAUACUACAAGGCAAAGAACAAUGCUAAGCGCGAGAAGGACGAGGCCAUCAAGGCAGGUCUCAGGGAGAAAUCUCGCAGCCCCAGCCCGGUAGUCAUCCCGAUUGAAAAGGAACCGUCACCACCUCGAAGACGUUACAGCAGCCUAUCUCCAACCACAACGUCGAGUACUAACAGAAAAAAAUCACGGUCGAGGUCGCGAUCACCGAGGAGGCAUCGCAGAAGGAGCAGAAGCCGGAGCCGAAGUCGAAACAGAAGGAGGAACAGUCGACGGAGUCCUAGUUCCUCCAGGUCACGGUCGCGCUCGCGGUCACCACCAUCUUCAAUGCAUUCAUUUAGAAGAUCCCCGUCUCCACCCAGUUCCUUUGGUUUCGGAAAUAAUUUUUCGAGAUCAGAUGUUCUGCAAGAGCAACUGGACUCGAAUAAUAAAGGUCAUCAGAUGCUGCGGAAGAUGGGUUGGGGUGGUAGCGGUCUCGGAGCUCACGAGCAGGGGAUUGAUUCACCGAUAUCUGGGGGCGAUGUGCGUGAUCGUCAGGAUCAAUUUAAAGGAGUUGGUUGCGACCUUAAUGAUCCUUAUGAAAAUUUUCGAAAGAAUAAGGGUGCCGCAUUCAUCACGAGGAUGAAAGCAAGAGCGGAAGAAAGGGCGAAUGAAAGUAAGUAAUUCUUUUUAGCUGUAGUAUUUUAUAGAUGUAGUAUAACAAAAAUUGAGGUUUUUGAAAUUUCCAGUUUUUCUUCUAGUAAAAUCAACAAUAAAUAAAAAAAAAAAUUAAUUAGUUAAUUCAAAAGCAGAGAUAGAUCCCUUUUUCUAUUCAUAAAACGACUAUUUACAUUUCAUCAAUCAAUAAAAAACAAAGAUGACAGUACAUGACAGUACAUUUUCAAAUGAUUUCUUCUAUUAUAUUACAGCACAUAUAAAAGCGUUGUUUAAAUAGAUAAAAUCAAUGUAAGAUUUAACAAAAAAAGUGAAACUCUGUAUGCAUAUGCAGUAAUUAAAGGAUAUCCUAACUAUUUACUUGGGUUAACACAGGAAGUAACGAAUGUCUACCCACGAGAAAUUGUUAUUUAUAAACCUUUGCUUAAAACACCUGUUCAUAUGCGCUAUCAAUAAAAUGCUAAUUAUAAAAGCACGUUUUUAAUGAAAAGAAAUUAUACACGUUUGCUUUUGCAUUUUUGUUAAAGUAUAAUGUAUUAUUUAUUACUGUUAUUUACUAAGGGGUCGUUCAUAAAAUACAUUCGCAAAAAGGGGGGAGGGAGGGGUAUUGCUCAGCAUGGAGAGACAUGGCAAGCGGAACGGGUUCUAAGGAAAUGUGACGUUCGCAAUUCAUAAUUUUUUUUCUUAACUUUUUCAUUACGACAGAAAGUCAUUCUCAUUGCCAUUUUUAAUCUCACAAAAAAAAUCUUUUUUAUAAGGGGGUGGGGGAGUGGACUAACUUUUGUGACGUAAUGUUCGUUGAGGGGUCACUGAAAGUGUGACUUGGAGCGGAAUGAAAGGGGCGGGAGGGGUUCAAUAAAGUGAAAUUCUGAGUGACGUAUUUUAUGGACGACCCCUAACUACCUAUACUACUACAUAAAGACAAAUGACCUGUAUGCACUCGCUAAACGCGAAAACUGCUGUACCGAUUUGCAUGAAAUUUUUACAUUACAUUUUUAAUGAUACAAAGAAGGACGUAGAGUAUUAAAGAUGUCGAAAUUGUUAAUAACAACGUGAUAAUAAUAAUUGUUCAAUUUUAUGAUGGAGGGGGAACCUUCGUUUCUCCCGUCUUACAAACGGUGCUGAACUUUUAAGAGGGCCGAGCACAUCGUAUUAUUGACAUUUCCAAGAUUAGGGCGGGUUGGUAAUGCUAUAUACUUAAGCUUCUUCAAAAUAAAAAGGAAGUUUCAAAACAGUAGAUACUGUUAUUGUAUAAAUUUUUAAUCAAAAUAAAAUUUUAAUUUCUUUCUUGAUCACAUGGUGCAGUUAUUCAAAUUCGUAUUUCAUGAAGCAAUAUAGCGGGUGUUAUAAAUAUCAUAAAUGGAAACGAUGGGACAAGCUUUUUAAAAACAGAAUAUAUUCUGUUUUUCAAUAUGACUGUAUCAUUGUAUUGCUUAUUCACAGAAGAAAUGUUUUUGAACACUCUGUAAACGUUUGAUACUAAAAAUUUCUGUGGAACGUAAAACACGUGUUUCGGGACGGAUAACAACGUUAUGCACGUGUUUUUUCAUGUAAUAACGUGAUACUUGUUUGUUAAAUGCAAACUGUAGAAUAAAGUAACGUCUAUGUAUGGUGAAAUGUUAUAUCGUUGCUGUGUUAUCGAACCGCAUUGUUUGUACAAUCCAAAUGUUCACGUGAUCAUUGAACUUAAAAAAAAACCAUAACAGUCACAUAAUAAUGCACUUGCCCCUGAGUCCUUAUCGAAAGAAAAAACGCUGUUAUGUUCAGUUUUUUUCCAGAUAAGUGCGUCAAUACAUACAUUUAUUACUUUGUUUGUCGCAAAUUAGGGAGCUUCGGGACGAUGGGGAGAUGGACGGAUGAUUUGCUUAUAUGAGAGUUUUUCACCCGUGAAGGUCGGUUGAUGAUUACGGCGAGGUUUUUGUCUGAACUCGCGUUUUGCCGGACAUUUUACUUAUCUACAAUUAGCGAGAAAAGCACGCUAACUGACGGAUCACACACAAACGUUGACGUACCUCGUAAAAGCAUUUUUUAGCAGCCAUAGAUAAUAAAGUUAUAUGUGUUUUCGAAACUUAUUAAUUAAUUCAUUUAAACUCAAAAAAACGAUGUUGCUAGCGGUUAUAAGCGAUCACCGUGUAUAUUAUAUACAAGGUGGUUAGAUUCCGUUGUUCGAGACGUUUUAAUACAUUUCCCAAAAACCAUUUACUGUAGUCCAUUUUAUGUAACUUUGAGGAGUUUUAUUAUUAUUGUUCUUUUUAAUAUUGGUUAAAACGACAAGGUGAACGACUGAAUCAUGCGCGUAGUAGAAGACUGCUUCGAGCAAGAUUUUAAAGAUAAUUAAUUACUUAUUGUUUUGUACUGUUAUGUAUAUUAGCUGUACGUGUAAAAAGUAUAAAUAAAUUUUUUCCAUUAAAA